UAGGAAGUGGUGUAGCGGAAGCACUGAGAGUUUUGAUCUCUCCGGGCGGGGUUCGAAUCCCCCUUUCCUAA
rnacentral:tRNA from 1 species